CAGUAGCCACGGUAAUACGUAGGUCCCGAGCGUUGUCCGGAUUUAUUGGGCGUAAAGCGAGCGCAGGCGGUUAGACAAGUCUGAAGUUAAAGGCUGUGGCUUAACCAUAGUACGCUUUGGAAACUGUUUAACUUGAGUGCAAGAGGGGAGAGUGGAAUUCCAUGUGUAGCGGUGAAAUGCGUAGAUAUAUGGAGGAACACCGGUGGCGAAAGCGGCUCUCUGGCUUGUAACUGACGCUGAGGCUCGAAAGCGUGGGGCGCAAACAGGAUUAGAUACCCGAGUAGUCCCUGUCUCUUAUACA
rnacentral:rRNA from 1 species